UACGAAGGGGGCUAGCGUUGCUCGGAAUCACUGGGCGUAAAGCGCACGUAGGCGGAUUGUUAAGUCAGGGGUGAAAUCCUGGAGCUCAACUCCAGAACUGCCUUUGAUACUGGCGAUCUCGAGUCCGGGAGAGGUGAGUGGAACUCCGAGUGUAGAGGUGAAAUUCGUAGAUAUUCGGAAGAACACCAGUGGCGAAGGCGGCUCACUGGCCCGGUACUGACGCUGAGGUGCGAAAGCGUGGGGAGCGAACAGG
rnacentral:rRNA from 1 species